GGUCAGUGAUGUGAUGUAAAAGGUCUGAUGCCUAGGCUUCCUCCAGCUACCCUUCAGCUCCCAGGAGCCCCUGUUCCGUUUCCAGCAUGCUCUAGGUGUGUGGUGUUGGUUUUGGGGGCUCCUGACAAAUGGGAUGACCUCCUAGCCUGUUUCUCCACAAGACUGAGGAGAUGCAAUGAUGGUGGACAUUCAACACAGACAAUUGCUAAGGAGUAUCAGGGUCUGGCAAGGAAAUAGGCACUUGAUCUCAAGUUUUCAAACUGAGACC